GACUGAAUAUUGGUUUAAGAGGCGAUACGUGUCAGGUUGUGGUUGGUCGGGUGUAAAAUACAAAAGCAAAAAAAAAACUGAAACCGACGAGAUUUUUUCUUUUUCCUCUUCUCUCUCUCGGUUGCGAUCGAAGGACUUGGAAUCAAUUGAAACCAUGGAUUCGAAGGGAAUGGUUUACCACAGUUCCCUGCAGAACCGAGUUCUGAAAGCUGAUUUGAUGGCUGAACUUGACAAAGAGGUUAAAUCUUUGGAAGAAGAUAGAUGGAUGUUUGAAGGUCCUCGUUCUCGAAUCCAUCUUAUCUCCAUAAGAGGUUUGUUUCUUUCUUCUUCUUCAAUCCGUUUUUCGUGUAUGACAAUAUGCAAACCGAGAUAGGCUAAGCCCUGAGCACGAGAGAAUGAUUGUUGAGAUGCUGCUACCAUACCACCCUGAAUUUGCGUCAAGUUUUACGAAAUUGGUGGUGAAGGUGGGAUCAUAAAACAAAUUGUGACAGGAAGACAUCGACGGAUUGGCUACAAUGACCCGUUGAUUUGUAGCUAUGUGUAUGUUUCAAGUCUAGUUUCGAUUCCUGUCACUGUCAAGAAGAAUAAGAGGUAGAGAUAUACGAGUGCUGUUUUGUUUUCUUAAAAGCUCUGUUUUUUGGUCUUUGUGUUUUGUUGAUCGUCUACCAUAUAUCAACUAUGAUACUAUAUAUGCAUGCAGAUGUUACUGAAAUUGACAUAUGUUUUAGUUUUUGUGUUAUGAUCUUGAGAGACUGAGAAAUUGACCUCUGAUUAUUGAAAUUGACCUUUGUUUUUGUUUUCUGUUUCA